ACUCAAAGGAAUUGACGGGGCCCCGCACAAGCGGUGGAGCAUGUUGUUUAAUACGUCACUAACCGUAGAACCUUACCAGGGCUUGACAUCGGCUGCCCGCCGGUGAAAGCCGGUCUUUCCCGCAAGGGAACAGCCAGACAGGUGUUGCAUGGCUGUCGUCAGCUCGUGUCGUGAGAUGUUGGGUUAAGUCCCGCAACGAGCGCAACCCUCACCCCAUGUUGCCAGCGAGUGAAGUCGGGAACUCUUGGGGAACUGCCGGGGUAACUCGGAGGAAGGUGGGGAUGACGUCAAGUCAGCAUGGCCCUUACGCCCUGGGCUACAAACAUGCUACAAUGGACGGCAGACAAAGGGAACCGAAGCCGCGAGGUGGAGGCAAUCUCAAAAAUCCGUUCUCAGUUCAGAUCGCAGGCUGCAACUCGCCUGCGUGAAGUCGGAAUCGCUAGUAACCGCCGAUCAGCGAAGCGGCGGUGAAUACGUUCCCGGGGCUUGUACACACCGCCCGU
rnacentral:rRNA from 1 species